UCAAACCGGCGUGAGCCAGGUUGGUUUCUAUCCUCAAUAAAUUAGAAUAUUUUAGUACGAAAGGAUUAAAUAUUCAAAAUAAUUUUUUUUAUUAUGAAUAAAAUUAAU
rnacentral:rRNA from 1 species